GGAGAGAUGGCUCAGCAGUAAGAGCACUGUCUGCUCCUUCAGGGGACCUGGGUUCAAUUCCCAGCUCCCACCU
rfam:Mesocricetus auratus contig232360, whole genome shotgun sequence.